rnacentral:rRNA from 1 species
UACGUAGGGGGCAAGCGUUGUCCGGAUUUAUUGGGCGUAAAGAGCGUGUAGGCGGCUUGACAGGUCUGCUGUGAAAACUCGAGGCUCAACCUCGAGAUGUCGGCGGAAACCGUCUGGCUAGAGUCCGGAAGAGGAGGGUGGAAUUCCCGGUGUAGCGGUGAAAUGCGCAGAUAUCGGGAAGAACACCCGUGGCGAAGGCGGCUCUCUGGGACGGUACUGACGCUGAGACGCGAAAGCGUGGGGAGCGAACAGG